GCCCGGUUAGCUCAGCCGGUAGAGCGUUGGACUUUUAAUCCAACGGUCAAAGGAUCAAGUCCCUUAUCGGGCU
rfam:Ciona savignyi cont_37006, whole genome shotgun sequence.